UUGGGAUUGGAGGAGGUUGUGUUGCAGACGCGUGCAGGAUAUAAGCAACUGCUAAUCAACAGACUCUCCUUCCGAGCAGACUUCGCCUUCGCUUCCCUCCUUCCCAUGUCGCCGCGUGUUCCUCCCGCCGCUCACUCAGGAUCCCGAGAUGCCGUGUCAUUCCCUGUCAGCACCGAAAAAGUACAACCAGCUUAUGACAGUGACAGCAGACUCGACCCUUACUCAUCGGGCGUGCAAUAUCAAGCAACGACAAUGCAAUAUGCAACAGCCAAUCCCGUCGUCCUGUCCUGUGCAACCUGCCCCGUUUGCAAGGCCGGUCUUAUGCAGCGAGAAUUUCCUCUCGGUCUCCUCUGCUGUUUUCUGGUGAAGAGGAUCAGAUGUAACAGCUGUGGCAAGGAAUUCUGAAGGUUUAGGAAUGUUUUUGUUGUUGUGAUGAUUGUUUUUGUUAUUGUGAUGAUUGUUUUUGUUAUUGUGAUGAUUGUUAUUGUUAUUGUGAGGAUUGUUAUUGUUAUGGUAUUUUCCUGAAGGUCAUUGUUAUUGUUUUGUUUUUGUUUGUUUUUGACUUUAUUAUUAUUUGUGAUUGUUAGUGUUGGUGAUAUUAUUUUCGUUAUUAGUGUUGAUAUUUUUUUCGUUACUGGAAUUGUUACUAGUCACAUUUUCAUUGAUGUUUAUAUUUGCAUUUCUAUUAUUAUUAACACUAAUGUCAUCAUCAUUAAUAUUGCUGUUAUCAGUAUUUCUAUUUUUGUUGUAAUCAUUAUUAUUAUUAUCAAGGUAAUUGCAAGACAGGUAGCCUAGUCGGUUAAGCCCCGCCUCUUUGCCGUAUUUUUUUGCAAAUACUAAGAGUUUUUUUUUUUCUUGGUUUCUUUUGUACCAUUCUUAUUUCCGAACCAUUUUCCAAGUAAAAAAAA